rnacentral:rRNA from 1 species
AACGAACGCUGGCGGCAGGCCUAACACAUGCAAGUCGAACGCCCGUAGCAAUACGGGAGUGGCAGACGGUGAGUAACGCGUGGGAACCUUCCCUAUGGUUCGGAAUAGCUCAGGGGAAACUUGAGGUAAUACCGGAUAAGCCCUUCGGGGAAAGAUUUAUCGCCAUUGGAUGGGCCGCGUAGGAUUAGCUAGUUGGUGAGGUAACGGCUCACCAAGGCGACGAUCCUUAGCUGGUCUGAGAGGAUGAUC